rnacentral:rRNA from 1 species
UACGGAGGGCGCAAGCGUUGUUCGGAAUCACUGGGCGUAAAGCGCGUGUUGGCGGCUCUGCAAGUCGGGUGUGAAAUCCCUAGGCUCAACCUCGUAACUGCACUCGAUACUGCUUGGCUCGAGUCCCGGAGAGGGUGGCGGAAUUCGCGGUUUAGGGGUGAAAUCCGUAGAUAUCGGGAGGAACACCAGUGGCGAAGGCGGCCACCUGGACUGUGACUGACGCUGCGACGCUAAAGCGUCGGGAGCAAGGAGG